AGAGUUUGAUCAUGGCUCAGAACAAACGCUGGCGGCGUGUCUUAAGCAUGCAAGUCGAGCGGCAAGGCGGGGCGACCCGCCCUAGAGCGGCGGACUGGUGAGUAACGCGUGGGUAAUCUACCUUGGGCAUGGGGAUAGCCAUUAGAAAUAGUGGGUAAUACCGAAUACGCUCGCGGGGGGAAGGGUCCUGUGAGGAAAGGGUGCUACGGCACCGGCCUGAGAUGAGCUCGCGUCCCAUUAGCUAGUUGGUGAGGUAAGGGCCCACCAAGGCGAUGAUGGGUAGCCGGCCUGAGAGGGUGUACGGCCACACUGGGACUGAGAUACGGCCCAGACUCCUACGGGAGGCAGCAGCUAAGAAUAUUCCGCAAUGGACGAAAGUCUGACGGAGCGACGCCGCGUGGAUGAAGAAGGCCGAAAGGUUGUAAAGUUCUUUUGCGAGGGAAGAAUAACCGCAGGAGGGAAUGCCUGUGGGAUGACAUGAACUUGCGAAUAAGCCCCGGCCAACUACGUGCCAGCAGCCGCGGUAACACGUAGGGGGCGAGCGUUGUUCGGAAUUACUGGGCGUAAAGGGCAUGUAGGCGGUCUGGUAAGCCUGGCGUGAAAGACCACAGCUUAACUGUGGGGUUGCGUUGGGAACUGCUGGGCUUGAGUGACGGAGAGGGAGCUGGAAUUCCUGGUGUAGGGGUGAAAUCUGUAGAUAUCAGGAAGAACACCGAUGGCGAAGGCAAGCUCCUGGCCGAUGACUGACGCUGAGGUGCGAAAGUGUGGGGAUCAAACAGGAUUAGAUACCCUGGUAGUCCACACGGUAAACGAUGUGCACUAGGUGCUGGGGCGGUAGCCUCGGUGCCGGAGCGAACGUGGUAAGUGCACCGCCUGGGGAGUAUGCUCGCAAGGGUGAAACUCAAAGGAAUUGACGG
rnacentral:rRNA from 1 species